rnacentral:ncRNA from 1 species
AUAAAUUUUUAUGAUUUAUAAAAUUUAAUUUAAAUUUAUUUUACAUGUAAAUUUUAGUGUUAAUUUUUAAUUAUUUUAAUAAUAAUUAUUAAUAUUUGCAGUAAUUAAAAUUAAAAAUUUAAGAAAUUAAGAUUUAGAAAUAUUUUGAUUAUUAACAAAUUUUGUGCCAGCAGUUGCGGUUAUACAAAAAAUAAUUUAAAUUUUAUCGGUAUAUAAUAAAUAAUUUUUAUUUAAAUUAAAUAUUAAAUUAUUAAGUGAAAUUUUAAUUUAAUUAAAAUUUAUAUUAAUUUUAUGAUUUAUUAAAUUUUAUAAAAAACUAGGAUUAGAUACCCUAUUAUUAAAAAUUAAAUUUAUAAUACUAAAAUAGUAGAUAAUAAUUUAUUGAAACUUAAAUAAUUUGGCGGUAUUUUAGUUCAUUUAGAGGAAUCUGUUUAAUAAUUGAUAAUCCACGAAUAAAUUUACUUAAUUUAUUAUUUUGUAUAUCGUUGUUAAAAAAAUAUUUUUUAAUAAAAAUAAUAUUUAAAAAUUUUUAUAUAAAAUUAAUUCAGAUCAAGAUGCAGAUUAUAAUUAAGAAUAUAAUGGAUUACAAUAAAUAAAUUUAAAUGAAUAAUAUUUUUUAAUAAAUAUUUGAAGGUGGAUUUAAAUGUAAUUUUAAUUAAUUUAUUAAAAUGAUUAUAUAUUAAAAUAUGUACAUAUUGCCCGUCGCUUUCAUUAAUAAAUUGGAAUAAGUCGUAACAAAGUAGAGGUACUGGAAAGUGUUUCUAGAAAGAA